rnacentral:rRNA from 1 species
UACGUAGGGGGCUAGCGUUGUCCGGAAUCAUUGGGCGUAAAGAGCGUGUAGGCGGCCCGGUAAGUCCGCUGUGAAAGUCGGGGGCUCAACCCUCGAAUGCCGGUGGAUACUGUCGGGCUAGAGUGCGGAAGAGGCGAGUGGAAUUCCUGGUGUAGCGGUGAAAUGCGCAGAUAUCAGGAGGAACGCCGAUUGCGAAGGCAGCUCGCUGGGACGUAACUGACGCUGAGACGCGAAAGCGUGGGGAGCGAACAGG